rnacentral:rRNA from 1 species
CGCCUCUUGAAUUCUAUAAGAGGUCCAGCCUGCCCAGUGACUCUGUUCAACGGCCGCGGUAUCCUAACCGUGCGAAGGUAGCGUAAUCACUUGUUCUUUAAAUGUGGACUAGUAUGAAUGGCACCACGAAGGUUAUACUGUCUCCUUUUUCUAAUCAGUGAAACUAAUCUCCCCGUGAAGAAGCGGGGAUAAAACUAUAAGACGAGAAGACCCUAUGGAGCUUUAAACAACAUAGCACUUGCCACACACCAUUUAUAUUCCAGAAUCUUAAAUUCCCUGAGCAAUAUGACUAUAAGUUUUUGGUUGGGGUGACCGCGGAGCAUAACACAACCUCCAUGUUGAAAGAAUCAUUUUCUAAGCUAAGAACUACAACUCUAAGCAUCAACAUAUUGACAUCCAUUGACCCAAUACAUUUGAACAACGAACCAAGUUACCCUAGGGAUAACAGCGCAAUCCACUUCAAGAGCUCCUAUCGACAAGUGGGUUUACGACCUCGAUGUUGGAUCAGGGUAUCCCAGUGGUGCAGCCGCUACUAAAGGUUCGUUUGUUCAACGAUUAAAACCCUACG